AGUACAUUCUAGUCUGGCUAAUCCAUAGUUGUUAAACGGUUUGGAAAAGGACAUUUUUCCAUGGAAUGCCCACAAGGAGGAGGUGGGAGUCGAGCGUGUAGGUGUCAUAAGUGGGCCAUGUAGCAAGGGAUUUUCCACAAGGAGAGGUCAUUGGUGGCAGCAAGUGUUACAAGUGUCAUGAAGUUGGCCACACCUCGGAAGGCUGUACGAUCUAUUCGUGAAUUGACGAAAAACGGAAAGCCGCGUGAACAAUACAUUCCGGAAGCUGUGACAUGCGAUGAAAAGGAACUGCUUAAGUGGGAUCGUCUGUGGGGAACGCUUUAACAAUUUUGAUAAAGUCGUUCUCCAUCGAAUCCAGGUUACAGGAAAAGAUGUACCUCAAUACAUAACAUCACUCGAAGAAGCCGGCUUGCGCCCACUACUACUUCAAAACAUUAAGAAUUCUGGCUACAUAAAACCAACACCUGUACAGAAAGCUUCAGUUGCAGUUAUUCUUGCCAAAGAGAUUUGAUUGCUUGUGCUGUCACGGGCUCCGGCAAAACGGCGGCGUACUUGGUACCGGUUAUGAACAUAUUGUUAGAACAAGGUGUUGCUGGUGCGUCCGCGCCAUGGUUCAAAAGCCAGAAGUUGUAAUUGUCGCACUCACUCGUGAAUUUUCGAUUCGAACUCACCGCGGGUCGUAUAAAUUCUCCUACAAUUCGGUUUUAAAAUCUGUCAUUAUAUAUGAGGGAACUGUCACGAGCCAUCAGCGGUCAAAUCUUCAAGCUGGGUGCAAUACUCUUGUCGCGACCGCGGGGCGACUCGAGGAUUUUCCCGACCGUGGAGUAUUUUACUUCUCGACGGCCAGGUUUUUAAUUUUGGACGGAGCUGAUCGAAUGCUUUAUGGGUUUUGGUCCGGAUAUUGAAAAAAUUGCCAACCAUCCAACGAUGCCUCCGAAAGGAAUCCGUCGUGUUUGUAUGUUUACGGUUUCACUGGCGCCCAAGUCGGAAAAUUGCCUUGUCUGGAAAUUUCGCAAAGUGUGACGGGUUUUGGCAGAACUAUGAUUGAGAAAACAAGAGAGGAUGUGGAGUCUAAAUUUUGCGUCGAGAUGCCUAUGCCCAUGAC